UCCUACGGGAGGCAGCAGUGGGGAAUAUUGCACAAUGGGCGCAAGCCUGAUGCAGCCAUGCCGCGUGUAUGAAGAAGGCCUUCGGGUUGUAAAGUACUUUCAGUGGGGAGGAAGGUGUUGUGGUUAAUAACCACAGCAAUUGACGUUACCCGCAGAAGAAGCACCGGCUAACUCCGUGCCAGCAGCCGCGGUAAUA
rnacentral:rRNA from 1 species